GAUGAACGCUGGCGGCGUGCCUAAUACAUGCAAGUCGAGCGAACAGAUAAGGAGCUUGCUCCUUGGCGUUUACGGCCGGCGGGUGGGUAACAACUGGAUAACCCUACUAUAAGACUGGGGUAACUUCGGGAAAACGGGAGCAAAUCCGGGUAACUUAUUUAACCGGCUUGUUCCAUAAUGAAAGGACGCUUUGCUUGUAAUUAUUGAAUGAACCGCGCCGUAUUAGCUAGUUGGUAAGGUAACGGCUUACCAAGGCAACGAUACGUAGCCGACCUGAGAGGGUGAUCGGCCACACUGGAACUGAGACACGGUCCAGACUCCUACGGGAGGCAGCAGUAGGGAAUCUUCCGCAAUGGGCGAAAGCCUGACGGAGCAACGCCGCGUGAGUGAUGAAGGUCUUCGGAUCGUAAAACUCUGUUAUCAGGGAAGAACAAAUGUGUAAGUAACUGUGCACAUCUUGACGGUACCUGAUCAGAAAGCCACGGCUAACUACGUG
rnacentral:rRNA from 1 species